GUGCUUGCUUCAGCAGCACAUACACUAAAAUUGGAAUGAUACAGAGAAGAUUAGCAAGGCCCUUGUGUAAGAAUGACACAGAUUCUUGAAAUAUUCCACAUUGAA
ensembl:snRNA U6 U6 spliceosomal RNA